rnacentral:rRNA from 1 species
UGAACUGAAGAGUUUGAUCAUGGCUCAGAUUGAACGCUGGCGGCGGGCUUAACACAUGCAAGUCGAGCGGAAACGAUGAUAGCUUGCUAUCAGGCGUCGAGCGGCGG